UUUAGUAGGAAUUUAAUUUUGGUUCCGAUUGAACGUUCUUCAGUAGUUUUAAGACAUGCAAAUCGUUUGUACUUGGUUAAUCAAUAUUAAUAAUAAUAUUAAUUAAAUUUAAGUGUAAAUAUCUUAAAUUUGUGGUUUAAAUGUACAAGGUGUACGGGUGAGUAUUGUAAUUGAGAUACCCUUGUAGACUUCAGAAAUAGAAGAUAAUUCUUUUUCAAAAUAGUAAGUAUAUUAUUUAUUAUUUUGAAGCUAGUUAAGACUUAAGAUAUCUUAAAAAGUAAAAAAGAAUAAAACAAAAGUAAACUUUUAAGAAAAGAAAGGGAAAUUUUCCGCAACAAGGAUUCAAUUUACACUCGAUUAGGUAGUUGGAAGGGUAGAGGCCUCCCAAGCCGACGAUCGAUAGUCAAGUUUGAUAGAACUAAUGACCACAUUGGGAAUGAAAUCUCCCAAGUAGCGUUUUGCUACCAGCAGUCAAGAAUAUUAGUCAAUGCUCGCAAGAGUGAACUAGCUAACUGAAAUCCUUGAUGUGUCAUUGAGGAUAAGGUAAGGGAAAAUAAUGAUAUUACCUUACUAUUAGUGUCGUCCAACUUCUCGUGCCAGAAGACUCGGUAAGGCGAGAGACACAAACGUUAGUCGUCUUGAUCAGGCGUAAAGGGUUUGUAGGCGGCUUUAAGUAUCUUUUUUAAAGUUUAUUAUUAUAAAGCUAAAUAUUAUAUUUUUAGUUUUGUAUUAUAUAUUAAAAGAUCAAUUAAAGCUAGAAUCUAAAAGAGGUUAAAACAAUGCUUGAUUACAGGUGUACUAACCGUAAACAACUAGUAGAGUGUUAAGGGCGAAGGCUUUUUUCCAAUAAAGAUUGACGCUGAGAAACGAAGGUGAGGAAAGAAAAAAGGAUUAGAGACCCUUGUAUCCCUCACUGUCAACGAUGAAUGGUAGUUACUAGAGAGAAAUAAUCUAGAGACAAUGUUAACACGAAAACCAUUCCGCCUUGUGAGUACGACUGCAAAGUUGAAAACAAAAAAAUUAGUCGGUUUCGGAGCAAACGAAGUGAAGCAUGUUAUUUAAUGCGAUAAUCCGCGUAAAACCUUACCAGUUCUUGUAUAUAAACUUUAUACUUUUGUAUAAAGGAGUUUUUUAUUAUUUAAUAAAAAAUAAAUAAUAAAAGCUUAAUACAGGUGUUGCAUGGCUGUCUUCAGUCCGUAUCGUGAGGUGUAAGGUUAAAUCCGUUAACGGACGCAAUCCCUAUUGUUAAUUUGUACUUAACAAUUCAUGAUUCUGAGAAAGUUUCAUUUGGGGCUAAGACAAGUCCUUAUGGCCCUAAUGAACCGGGCUAUAGACGUGCUAUAAUGAUUUUUACAAAGUGAAGCAAAACUCCUCUUACCUUUUUAAAGAAAGUUUUAGUUUUUGAUUUUUAAAUCAAAAAAAAAAUUAAAAGAGCAAAAGGAUAAGCUAAUCAUUAAAAAAAAUCAAAAUAUUAAAUUAAUGUUACGAAUUGUCACCUGGAAUUCGGUGGCAUGAAGGAGGAAUUUCGAGUAAUCGUUGAUCAUUAGGCGCAACGGUGAAGCAUAAAUCCGAGAUGAACUAACUGUCUGUCGCUGGGAAGAAGCUUAUUUUGGUGGAAAAUAAAGUACAGUAAAAUUUUAUAGCUUUACUUUUUUAAUUUUAUUUUAAAGCGAAAUGACUGUAAAAAAAGUAAAAAAAAAUUUUUUUUUCUUUCAUAUUAACUUUAUUAUAUGUUAUUAAAAGUAGAGCAGUAAAAAUGUUUUUUAUUUAUUAAUAAAAAUUAGUUUACAAUAUUAAAUUUUAUUAGAUUUAUUUAAGCCAUUUGAGUAACAUCUCAAAAGUCAUAGCAGGGUAGCUGUACUGGAAGGUGCAGCUGGAUAUUUGAUAAA
rnacentral:rRNA from 1 species